CAACGCUACUAUUCAUAGCGUUGACCGACGUCAAUAGUACUCUAAUAAUUGGGGCGUCACUUUAAAAAUGACACUAAUAAUAUGUUAUUUGCGUCGUUUAGAUAUAUGACGCUAAAAGCUCAACCGACGAAAAAAAGCAAGAAAUUUAAAAAUUUACGUUUCAUUUUGCGUCUGUUAUUAAAACUCGUGUAUUGUAUUAGCAAGCUUUUAAAAACGACGCAAAAUACAAUACUGAGAGUUAAUAAUCGACGAAAAAAAAAAGUGAAAUCCUUAAAGCAAAAUCCUCAGCCCUCUCUCUUCAGACGCGCGAUUCAGCCUCACACUAUUCACGUCUCUGCGAUUCUCUUCAGCGCCGCAUCUCCUCUUCAGACGACGGUGAGAACUCACCCUAACCACCUCCUCUUCAGACGAUUCGACGGUGGUUGGUGGUCUCUCUUCUCCCGUGAGUUCCUUGAUAAUGCCUCUGGUGGUUUCUGAGUUCCUUUCUUCAUAACCUCCGAUGGUCAAAACCCCCCGUGAGUUCCUUUAGACGAUUCGACGGUGAUGAUUUCAAAGUUGGAGCAAAUCAGAAUGGCUUUGGAGAUGGAAACUGGUGGAAUUGUCAGCUUGAGUUGCUGGGCAGAAGCUGCUGGUAUUGAUGAAAAAAUGCUUAAGCAGCAACUUUUCGGUUGGCAUCGUCAGGACGAGGUUGUAAGGAGUACUAAGUCCUUAGUUCUAUACCUUGCAAGAAAGUAUAGGGGUUUAGCAAUAACCUUGGAUGAUUUACUUCAGGUUAUGAAUAUCAAGUCUUACAACCACAUGAUAUCACAGAAAAUACUCACAAAAUUAUAGAACUUCUUAGAUAUUCUGAUGAAGGGGUUGUAGUUGUAGAUACUCUAUCGUUCAUCGCCAAGUUCAAGUCAGACGCUCCAUAUAGUAACGAGGAGAUCAAUGCAGUACGGGAUGAGUGGACUGAAUUUGUGGAGCCUUUGAUUAUCAAUUAAGUACAAGGUUACUACUUUUGUUAUAAUACAUGAGUAACAAGUUUUAUGAUUAUUGUUAUAUUUUGCAUAAGUAAUUAGCGUCAAAAAUGACGCUAAUCAGACGCUCCAUAUAGUAACGAGGAGAUCAAUGCAGUACGGGAUGAGUGGACUGAAUUUGUGGAGCCUUUGAUUAUCAAUUAAGUACAAGGUUACUACUUUUGUUAUAAUACAUGAGUAACAAGUUUUAUGAUUAUUGUUAUAUUUUGCAUAAGUAAUUAGUUUAUAUCUAGUUUACGAUAUACAUAGAAUUUAAGUUUUAGGAUCGAUUCUAUUAACAAUUUUAGUAUUAUGUGAUUAGUUAAUAGAAUGGAUUACUAAUUUUAUGUAAGUUUUAAAAAUUUUAUUUUAAUUUUUUUUUUUUUGUAUUAUGUAUUUACUAUUAUAUAGAAUUAUUGUAAAAUUUAAUAAUGCAUUUUUCGUCAUUUUAUAAGCGACGCAAUAAGUGAAAGAAAAAAGCAUUUUCGUAAUAGAUAUGACAUUUUUGAACCGACGUAAUAAGUUUUUUGUGAUAGUUUUAAAAUGCCAUAAAUAAUUUAGCGUCAUUUUUAAACCGACGCAAAAGAUAAAACAUAAAAGUAAAUAUUUUGCGUCGGUUUGUAAAUGUCGACAAUUGUUUUUUGCGUCGUUUCAAAAAUGACGCUAAUAAAAGACUAUUUGCGACUACGGUAUAUACGUCGGUUUAAAAAACCGACGUAAAUUCUUUAAAUGACUCUUAAAAACCGACG